AUGUGUUCUUGUAUGCACAAAGAAACACUCAUGGAGAGAAACUUAUUUUUUCUUCCCAGAAUACUAUCGAGACACCAUACUCCAUCUUAUUUAUUGAUGAUUUUCAGGGGUUCUCAUGCUUGUUUAUUCUGGAUUUCUCUGUCAGAACUGCUUGUGUGUCCAUCUGCGACAAUGGCUUCUGGUCAGUUUAUCUAUUUCUUUCUUUCCUUGCAGUGGCGGAGCUACAAAGAAAAGCCUGAGCAGGCCAAUCUAAAAAAUAUGAAAAAAUCAACCCAAGGAAAGGAUGAUGAGCUGCUGCUGAAAAGUCUUCCUCAACUCCAUCCGUAA
rnacentral:rRNA from 1 species